rnacentral:rRNA from 1 species
GAUGAACGCUGGCGGCGUGCCUAAUACAUGCAAGUCGAGCGAACAGACGAGGAGCUUGCUCCUUUGACGUUAGCGGCGGACGGGUGAGUAACACGUAGGUAACCUACCUAUAAGACUGGGAUAACUUCGGGAAACCGGAGCUAAUACCGGAUAAUAUUUCGAACCGCAUGGUUCGAUAGUGAAAGAUGGCUUUGCUAUCACUUAUAGAUGGACCUGCGCCGUAUUAGCUAGUUGGUAAGGUAACGGCUUACCAAGGCAACGAUACGUAGCCGACCUGAGAGGAUGAUCGGCCACACUGGAACUGAGACACGGUCCAGACUCCUACGGGAGGCAGCAGUAGGGAAUCUUCCGCAAUGGGCGAAAGCCUGACGGAGCAACGCCGCGUGAGUGAUGAAGGUCUUCGGAUCGUAAAACUCUGUUAUUAGGGAAGAACAAACGUGUAAGUAACUGUGCACGUCUUGACGGUACCUAAUCAGAAAGCCACGGCUAACUACGUG